ACCAGCUGAUGAGUCCCAAAUAGGACGAAACGCGCGUUCUGAAU
rnacentral:hammerhead_ribozyme from 1 species